AUGGAGCCCUCAGUGGGAUGAGGGUGAAACUGCUAUUGCCUGCUUCUGCUGUGUUCCCGCCUCAGCAUGCUGGUGCAUUUAUUUCGGGUCGGGAUUCGGGGUGGCCCAUUCCCAGGCAGGCUGCUACCGCCCCUCCGCUUCCAGACAUUCUCAGCUGUCAGAAACUGAAGUUGCUUCAGAACAGCCCUGAGAAGGGCAGGGGCAAGGGCCUGAAAGAAGAGGAAGUACUGCUUCCAGAGGGCUCAGCCAGAGCCCCAUGGGUGUGCUGGUCAGCUGGAGGGCAGUCGGAGCCUCGAGCCUUCCAUGCCUCUCUCUCCUUACAGCUGGCCUUGGGUGCGGCACUAGUGAAUGUACAGAUCCCCCUGCUCCUGGGCCAGCUGGUAGAGAUCGUGGCCAAGUACACGAGGGACCACGUGGGGAGUUUCAUGACUGAGUCCCAGAAUCUCAGCACCCACCUGCUUAUCCUCUAUGGUGUCCAGGUACAGCCAGGAGUGGGGCUGGGGGCCGCCGAGGAGCCACCCGAGGCAUCCUUGAGUGCACUGGGCUCUUUCGCAGGGACUCCUGACCUUCGGGUACCUGGUGCUGCUGUCCCAUGUUGGCGAGCGCAUGGCUGUGGACAUGCGGAGGGCCCUCUUCAGCUCCCUGCUUCG
rnacentral:sRNA from 1 species